rnacentral:rRNA from 1 species
AGUGAACGCUGGCGGUAGGCCUAACACAUGCAAGUCGAACGGCAGCACAGUAAGAGCUUGCUCUUACGGGUGGCGAGUGGCGGACGGGUGAGGAAUACAUCGGAAUCUACUUUUUCGUGGGGGAUAACGUAGGGAAACUUACGCUAAUACCGCAUACGACCUACGGGUGAAAGCAGGGGAUCUUCGGACCUUGCGCGAUUGAAUGAGCCGAUGUCGGAUUAGCUAGUUGGCGGGGUAAAGGCCCACCAAGGCGACGAUCCGUAGCUGGUCUGAGAGGAUGAUCAGCCACAAUUGAACUGAGACACGGUCCAGACUCCUACGGGAGGCAGCAGUGGGGAAUAUUGGACAAUGGGCGCAAGCCUGAUCCAGCCAUACCGCGUGGGUGAAGAAGGCCUUCGGGUUGUAAAGCCCUUUUGUUGGGAAAGAAAAGCAGCAGGUUAAUACCCCGCUGUUCUGACGGUACCCAAAGAAUAAGCACCGGCUAACUUCGU